UGAGGGAAGUGGUUGAGCAACCAUCCCUGGAAGUGUUCAAAAAUGUUUGGAUGUGCUGACCACAGUCAUGGAAUCGCUGUGGCCGGAAGAAGCUCCAGCUGACUGAUAGUGGAGCAUGCACCGAGAAGCCACCAAGCUGUGUAGCAGCAAGGUAGAAGAGAGAAAAAUAGCAUGAAAAGGAAGGCUUCACCUGAAGAAAUAAGGUCAAGAAAAGCAACACCUAAAUGAAGCCACUUGCAAUAAUGUUUGCCUGCAUAUAUCUAUCCUAAAUGGCAGGAAAGUAUGAAAGCCUCCUUCUAUUGCUACUCUUAGUGGGUUAAGCAGAGAGGACAGGCAUGGGACCUUCCAGAGGCAUGAAGAUGACUUCUUGGCAUGGUUCAGAAGCAGCAGGAACAAA